rnacentral:tRNA from 1 species
GGCUGCUUGGCCCAAUUGGAAAGGCGUCUGACUACGAUCGAACGGUAUAUUAUGGUCGACUAGUUAUCAGGAGAUUCUGGGUUCGAGCCCCAGGGUGGUCA